GAAAAAGGAGUCACGGGAUGUCUGAGCCCCGAGCUGCGGGACCCGUCGUCAGAACACACCUGGCUGCGGCGAGAGGAGACGGAGGCAGCUCCAGACAAACAGGAGGCCACCCCACCCACGCUGGGAGCACCACCUCUCAGGAAGGAGUAGCUGUGACCUCUCCCACUGCACUGGGCUGGGAGGCCAGCAGAUCUGCUCUGCUCUCCUGAUGGCCAAAGGUUGUGGUCGUUGUUUUCACCAACGGAAAUCAUCCCCCAGUGGGAGAGAGGAAGCCAUGGUGGAGAAGCAGAGACAGACAGGAACACAACAGACACACGUGGAGUGAGGCUGGAAGGCAGCAGUGUCUCAGAGCGACAUAGUGGAGAUGAAGGUCUCCAGAACCUCAGGCCAGAGAGGGACAGUGGGCAGGGGGCCGAAGGUGGCGAUGGCCCUCAGCGUGGCUCAGGACAGCAAUAUGGACACCAGGGCAAUGCAGGAAGCAGGCCUGGGACCCCUUGGGCAAUAGUGAGUAUACACUGGAGUUCUUUCAUUCCUGGUUCCACAAACUGUUCUGAGGGCCCCCGCCCCCACCCCCACCCCCAAGAUGGCCUCCUAUACCCUGUAAACCAGAGAUCCCCACACCCCCGGGCCGCGGACCAGGAUGGGUCCAUGGCCCGAUAGGAACCAGGCUGCAGAGCAGGAGGUGAGUGGCGGGUGAGUGACCGAAGCAUCACCUGCAGCUCCCCGUCACUCCUCAUCGCUGGCAUUACCACCAUCCCCCCACCCCCAUGAAACCAGAAGGUUGGGGACUGCUGCUAUAAGCGAUUUGAGGUGAAAAGACCCACAUCCUGCUCUCAGGCCAAGAUGCAUCUAUGAUACACCAGGAAGACUGAUGCACUGCUAGUAAGCAUGGAUAAAGAGCCCAGGAGUUCAAAGGAGGACGCAGUAUGGUUAUCUCCCCUUGUUUUCCUUUUACUUGUGACAGAGAAUACUUAAUAGGUGCUCAAUGAACGUCAGCUGUGAUAUGUGUCCUCGCCAUCUACAUGCAUCACCUCACCGCAACCCUCUGUGGGGCAAGGGUCCAUUAUCAUCCCCAUUUCAUAGAUGACGAAGUUGCUCCAUGAAAGUUAAAUCACGGUUCAGGGUCGCUGGGAGGCAGCUGGAAGGCACAGAGCUGGGUUUUGAAGCGAGAUUCUUUUUGACUCUGGAGGACAAGCGCUUAAUCAUAACAUUUACAUGUUCUUGAACUUCCUGGAGCCCUUCAGAGCUCCCUUCUAGGGCCCAGGCUGGGGAAACUGGGACCAUGUGUGCUCGCCAGCACAACUCACGACUCUAUUUUACACAAACAAACCCUGUCCUUCUCCAAACUAACAAAUGAGUUUCAGAUUAGCUUUUAGGGAUUUUUUUUUUUUUUUAAACCUCUACUAUCCAAAGUUCUCGAGUAAUUCAGCAGCCAUUCAAGAGAAUGGAGGGGGCUGACUCUGUAACUGAACCCCAAAUUCUUCAUUUCUCAUUUUCCUAGUGCCUCUUAAAUACAAAGACAUUUUCAUCCUUAGCACCACUUCCUAGGGUUGGGGCUAUGACCUUGGCAGUCUCUGGCUCUAGAAAAAAGGUAUGGUACCUCUUGUGUGGUGUGGGGGAAGGAAGAAAGAAUGGGUGGUGAGUUGUGGGUGGUUAGCGAGAUGUGAGAUGUGUUCCCAUGGGUGUACAGGGCAGAACUUGGCUUCUGUCAUUAAGUGGUUUCAUCAAGCAGAACCCGCCCCACGUGAAGGCCAGGACUGUCUACCCCUCCCUUUUCUCCCAAAAAGAAAACACACACAAACAUUUCCCUGGGAGUUAAGGUCUCAGGUUCCUAGAUUUGGGCUUUUCAUUCCUUGUAAUAGGAAAGAGAGCUUCAUUUUUACUAGGCUGAGGACUCCUUUCUCAUUUAAAAUCCAUCAUUUCCCCUAAUCCCCAGCAGAUUCUUUGAAUUUGCUCUGUAAAUAUUUAUAUAAAAAUAAAUUCGAGGGCAGAGUCAAGUCAACCUGAGCAAAGAGUGCUGUAGGCAAGGUGUGACCUGAACUAGAGUCCCCGAGUACUCUCAGCCACUGGACAGGGAAGCAGCCUAAGCCCUGGGACCAAUUCGAAUUCCAUUUCUCUGGGCCCCUCAGAUUAGGGCUUCUUCCACAGCAGCCAUGCUCACACUUAGCUCUGGGAUGCACAUUUCUAGCACUCCCGCUCUCCCUGCACAGAGCUCUCCACAAAAAACCCUACAUACAAUGUCCCGCCUUCUAUUCUGUGACCCUUUUUCCUUUUAUCAGGAGUCACAAACCUACUAAAGCCAGCCCCCAGGGGUAUGGCCAAUGAGCUGUUAUAAAAGAACUAAUUUGGGAUUCUUUUAGGUGGGCUUGCGCUUUCCACUUCUCUACAGGCCCCACCAUUCCCUGUUGGCUCCUUCCCAGCCUUGUCACACAUUUUUGUUACCUGCUUGGCCCCUGAAGGCCUCUGAGGUUUUCAAACCUUGUUUUAUAUCUUUGUACUCCACAAAGAGCAGAAACCUAAAGAAGCAGACUGUCAGACCCCAUCUCCAAACUGCUGUGUGUCCCCAGGACCUCUGGAAGCUGUACAAAACCUAAACAUAUACCUCUUUGUCUUCUUUUUGGUGACCCAACUUUGUCCUCCUGACAGAUCCUAUUGGGACCAAGGCAUGGGAUCCAGACCUCUCAGGGAGGUCUGGGUGUUACAGCCUCUCCUAUAACCUGGGGGAGAAAAUAUGAAGCUGAAACCUCCCCUUCUCCCAAAUAAAAUGGUCCCCUGGCUAAAUCCAAUCUGAGAUGUACAUGCUUUUCAUCCUGAGUUUCCAAGAUGCCUCCCAUCAUAUAGAUAAGGAACCAAGAUGGCUCUGGUGUCCUUAGAUCAGUGGUCCCCAAAUUUUUUGGCCCCAGGGACUGGUUUCGUGGAAGAUAAUUUUUCCAUGGACAGUGGUGGUCGGGGAGGAUGGUUUAGGCAGUAAUGCGAGCGAUGGGGAGUGGCAGAUGAAGCUUCACUCACUCACCCACUGCUCACUCCUACUGUGUGGUCGGGUUCCUAACAGGCCGCAGACCCAUACCUGUCCACGGCCCGGGGGUUGGGGACCCUUGCCUUAGGUCACAGGACCCCAUGGGGCCACCAUGUUGGGACUCCAAGGAGUUUAUUCCCAUAGUGAGUGAUGCUUUCUGGUGUCCUUCAGCACAGUGGUUCUGAGGGCCUCUGAGUUUUGGUUUUCAAGCAUUUGGGCUCUGCAGACCCCUGGCCUUUUGGACAAUAUGCUGUGUUCUGUGUUCCCUGCUGCCAUGUCCAGAGUCCUGUAGUUUUCUGGUUGAGUUUCUCUACAUAGAUCCCAUCCUGGUUUCUCUUCUCUGAUUUAUCAUUCCUCGCUUAUGAUUUGGGUCUCCAUGCUCAUUUCCUUAGUCAGCCUGUGUCCCAGCCCCAUGACCGCCUAAAUCAACUCUAUGCUGGGGAAUCAUCAACCUGAUUCUUCUCCAUGGAUUCCUGGACUCUGGCAAUAGAACGGUACGGCAGCUAAUCCAGAUUACAGUUUCACCAAUGCCUUAUUCUUAGCCACUGACCUGGAGGCCAGGCCCAAGUAGCUUACAUUGUUCAUGCUAUAAUAAAGCCAACUCCCGCCAGCUGCACGCUUGGGGUCCUGCUAGAUUAUAUGCCCAAGCGCUGCUGGACGCGGACUCUACUCAGCCUAGAGCUGGUCCUCAAGGGCAGCUGCCCCCCUUCCCCUUUCCUCCCUUUCGCUGGGCUGUAAAGCUAGAAAUCCUAUCCCCCCGGGCUAGAGUCUGUCUUGUACCCUAAUUCCUUCUCUCGACACAUCCUCCUCCUGAUUAAUUCUUUCCCUCCCUCAGAGCCAGUUGAUCAUUCCCUCCUCUGUGCUCCCACAGCACUUCAGCGUGCAGCUAUUAUUACACUUAUCACAUUGUAUUACAGUGAGUUGUUUAUGUGUCUCUCUGCCUGCUCCACUUUUAACCCAUUGAGGACAAGGGCUGCAUCUUACUCAUGUUGGUGUUUUCCCAAUAGAUAUUCAAUAAAGAGAUAUUGAAUGAACUAAUAAAGACCUAUUGUAUAGCACAGGGAAUUGUACUCACUACUCUGUAAUGACCUAUACGGGAAAGGAACCUAAAAAAGA